CUGCCCUACGGGGCGCAGCAGUGGGGGAUAUUGCACAAUGGGGGGAACCCUGAUGCAGCGACGCCGCGUGGGUGAAGAAGCGCCUCGGCGCGUAAAGCCCUGUCAGCAGGGAAGAAAAUGACGGUACCUGAAGAAGAAGCCCCGGCUAACUACGUGCCAGCAGCCGCGGUAAUACGUAGGGGGCAAGCGUUAUCCGGAUUUACUGGGUGUAAAGGGGGCGCAGACGGCAAUGCAAGUCUGGAGUGAAAGGCGGGGCCCAACCCCCGGACUGCUCUGGAAACUGUAUAGCUGGAGUGCAGGAGAGG
rnacentral:rRNA from 1 species